rnacentral:rRNA from 1 species
UACGUAGGUGGCAAGCGUUGUCCGGAUUUACUGGGCGUAAAGGGCGUGCAGGCGGUUUGUUAAGUGCAGGGUGAAAGCUCCCGGCUCAACUGGGAGAGGUCCUUGCAUACUGGCAAACUCGAGGGAGGCAGAGGAAAGUGGAAUUCCCGGUGUAGUGGUGAUAUGCGUAGAUAUCGGGAGGAACACCGGUGGCGAAGGCGGCUUUCUGGGCCUUACCUGACGCUGAGACGCGAAAGCGUGGGGAGCGAACAGG